rnacentral:lncRNA from 1 species
AGAUUAUUUAAAGAAAUAUUCCAUGCACAAUAACCACUACUCCUCUGUGUAGUGGUUAUGGUGCCAGGAGCGUCGGCACCCCCUCCCAGAGUAAGUCAUCAAACCGUUUAAGAACAGUUUGACAACUUACCUGGAGUCUGCUGGGAUAUGGGGCUGUAGUAGGGUAUAGGAGCAGUGGUGCAAUGUGUGUGAAAGGUUCAGUGUGUGGGUGGGCAGUGUUUAAAUGUGUAUGGUGUGUGUGUGUGGGGGCAGUGUGUGAAUGUG